rnacentral:rRNA from 1 species
UACAGAGGUCCCGAGCGUUGUUCGGAUUCACUGGGCGUAAAGGGUGCGUAGGCGGCGAGGUAAGUCGGAUGUGAAAGCUCGGAGCUCAACUCCGAAAUGGCAUUGGAAACUACCUUGCUCGAGGGUUGGAGGGGGGACUGGAAUACUUGGUGUAGCAGUGAAAUGCGUAGAUAUCAAGUGGAACACCAGUGGCGAAGGCGAGUCCCUGGACAGCUCCUGACACUGAGGCACGAAAGCUAGGGGAGCAAACAGG